ACGGAGGAAGGUGGGGAUGACGUCAAGUCAUCAUGGCCCUUAUGUCCAGGGCGACACACGUGCUACAAUGGCCGGCACAACGGGAAGCGAGUUCGCGAGGACGAGCGGAUCCCUCAAAGCCGGUCGCAGUUCGGAUUGAAGUCUGCAACUCGACUUCAUGAAGCUGGAAUCGCUAGUAAUCGUGGAUCAGCCAAGCCGCGGUGAAUACGUUCCCGGGCCUU
rnacentral:rRNA from 1 species